rnacentral:rRNA from 1 species
UAGGGAAUCUUCCACAAUGGACGCAAGUCUGAUGGAGCAACGCCGCGUGAGUGAAGAAGGUUUUCGGACCGUAAAGCUCUGUUGUUGGUGAAGAAGGAUAGAGGUAGUAACUGGCCUUUAUUUGACGGUAAUCAACCAGAAAGUCACGGCUAACUACGUGCCAGCAGCCGCGGUAAUACGUAGGUGGCAAGCGUUGUCCGGAUUUAUUGGGCGUAAAGCGAGCGCAGGCGGAAGAAUAAGUCUGAUGUGAAAGCCCUCGGCUUAACCGAGGAAUUGCAUCGGAAACUGUUUUCUUGAGUGCAGAAGAGGAGAGUAGAACUCCAUGUGUAGCGGUGGAAUGCGUAGAUAUAUGGAAGAAUACCAGUGGCGAAGGCGGCUCUCUGGUCUGCAAACUGACGCUGAGGCUCGAAAAGCAUGGGUAGCGAACAGGAUUAGAUACCCUGGUAGUCCAUGCCGUAAAACGAUGAGUGCUAAGUGUUGGGAGGCUUCCGCCUCUCAGUGCUGCAGCUAACGCAUUAAGCACUCCGCCUGGGGGAGUACGACC